AGGAAUUCCAAAAAAGAACUAAAUGAUAUUCGAUUUGAAUUUACUCCUGGGAGAGAUACAGCGGAGGGUGUCUCUCAGGAGCUCAUUUCUGCUGGCCUGGUCGAUGGAAGGGAUUUAGUAAUCGUGGCAGCUAAUUUGCAGAAAAUUGUGGAAGAACCUCAGUCAAAUCGAUCUGUCACUUUCAAACUGGCAUCUGGUGUUGAAGGCUCAGAUAUUCCUGAUGAUGGCAAACUAAUAGGAUUUGCCCAGCUCAGCAUCAGCUAAACCACAGCCCUGAAAGAGGCGGCCUAAGGAGAUUCGACACAUGCGUAUCUCUGUUGCUUGUAUUGGCCUAAACCCACUACUGCCAAAGAACCCAGCAACAAACCUACCGGCUAGGAGCUUUAGAGUUUUUUUCUUUAUGUUCUUCCUGCCAUCAUUUCCCCUUUUUCCCACAGGGAAAGAAAAGUUGAAUCACCAGUGGCCAGCAUCCCCUCAAAGAGUUCCGUUAGUAAAUGUGUUGCACCUGUCCCCUAUCGUCGUCCAUCUGAGAAGUGGCCUAUGUGCCUCGCUGCCCAGCAGGGAGAUCUCUCAGCUCAUUCUUGCCUUACUCCAGUGAUAGCCCAGGUGGAAAAUUGCAGCUAUAUUGGGCGUCCUCAUCUUGCCUGUUCUCCCACAUCUGCCAGGAUUUGGACAUCUUGGGAUAUCUCUUUACCACUGAAGUAGCAAUUAAAAGUUGAUUGUUCAGCUGGAACCCAGAGAAUUUAAUUAGUGUUUUUUCUUUGUACCCAGUGUGAAUUCUAGCAACCUUUGUUAGGAAAAAAGCACAGCCUCAUGUGGAGGCAGCCUAAAUGGUGUUUUUAUUUUGUUCAUGUUGUCUCUUAAGUGUUUUGCUGAAGCUGCUCUCAGGCACCCCCUUCUUCAUUGCUCCCUCUAGAAAGGGUUGCUAGCCUUAACUUCAGCUGGUGCAAAACAUCUGACUAGUCAAACUUCAGCCAUCAGAUUCUUCAAAGAGGAACUUUGAACUGUUUUUGCAGAAAACAUCAAGUAAUGGCUUAUAAAAGUAAAUUUCGCCAGAGGUAGUUUUUGAACAGAAAAAAACAAAAUUGUAAGUCAUGUCAUUGGGGAAGUAUUUAUUUUCAAAUUUUAAAAAGUUAAAUUGAAGAAAAACUAUCCCCUUGAUCCUCCCACAGAAAUCAAUUCACUUGGCCUCUAAGUCUUGAGGAAGUGGUAUACAAGGCUGAGAUUUCUACAGCAAUAAAGGAGACUCACAAUGGGCCAGAGGUCUGCCUUCUGCCCCUCUCCUGCACUGACUCAUUGGAGGGGGUCUCUUCGUGCUGA